CCUACGGGUGGCAGCAGUGAGGAAUAUUGGUCAAUGGACGAGAGUCUGAACCAGCCAAGUAGCGUGAAGGAUGACUGCCCUAUGGGUUGUAAACUUCUUUUAUAUGGGAAUAAAAUGUUCCACGUGUGGGAUUUUGUAUGUACCAUAUGAAUAAGGAUCGGCUAACUCCGUGCCAGCAGCCGAGGUAAUCCGGAGGAUCCGAGCGUUAUCCGGAUUGAUGGGGUUGAACGGGAGCGUAGGUGGAUUGUUAAGUCAGUUGUGAAAGUGUGCGGCUCAACCGUAGAAUUGCAGUUGAAACUGGCAGUCUUGAGUACAGUAGAGGGGGGUGGAAUUCGUGGUGUAGCGGUGAAAUGCUUAGAUAUCUCGAAGAACUCCGAUGGCGAAGGCAGCCCACUGGACUGAAACUGACACUGAGGUUCGAAAGUGUGGGUAUCAAACAGGAUUAGAUACCCGAGUAGUC
rnacentral:rRNA from 1 species